rnacentral:rRNA from 1 species
AGCAGCCGCGGUAAUUCCAGCUCCAAUAGCGUAUAUUAAAGNUGUUGCAGUUAAAAAGCUCGUAGUUGAACUUCGGGGUCUACCCAUUGGUCAGGCUUAAUUGUCUGCACUGGUGAGAUGGAUCUCUACCUUCUGAGGAACUUUCAUGCCAUUUAUUUGGUGUGAUNGGAAAUCAGGACUGUUACUUUGAAAAAAUUAGAGUGUUUAAAGCAGACUAUCGUCUGAAUACAUUAGCAUGGAAUAAUGAAAUAGGACGGACUGAUUCUAUUUCGUUGGUUUCUAGGAUCACCGUAAUGAUUAAUAGGGAUAGUUGGGGGCAUUAGUAUUCAAUUGUCAGAGGUGAAAUUCUUGGAUUUAUUGAAGACUAACUACUGCGAAAGCAUUUGCCAAGGAUGUUUUCAUUAAUCAAGAACGAAAGUUAGGGGAUCGAAGACGAUCAGAUACCGUCGUAGUCUUAACCAUAAACUAUGCCGACUAGGGAUCGGACGAAGUUAAUUUU